AUGGACGCACCGAGGGGUACCCCGCCGGGGCGGGCACGGGCACCGCCACCCGGAUGGAUCGGCGAUUCUGGGUCCGGGCAGGGCUCCGGACCCGACGGCUCCUGGAGGUACGGCUGGGAGUGGGCUUCAGGGCCUGGAGGCGGCUGGGGUUACGGCCACAGCUCAGAGCAGAGCCCCGGCGGCACCGCGUUUGGGUUCGGCUACGGCAGCGGCGGUGGCGGAGGAGGAGGCGGAGGGGGGAGCGGACGUGGAGGCUUCGGCUUCGGCAGGCUCGGCGGCCACUCUGGCGGGUUCGGCUGGGGUGUCGGGCCCGGCGGCCAUGCUGGCGGCUGGGGCAGCGGGAGCGGCGGCUGGGGAGCAGGCGGUGGGGCCUUUGGAGGCGACCACGGCGGCUGGGACGCGCGCGCAGGGUUCCGCGGCGGGAGCCAACGGCCACCUCCCGGAGGACGCGGCGGCGGCAAUUGA
rnacentral:rRNA from 1 species